UGCACCCCCCAGAUCCACCUCUGGGGGGUGCUCUUGUGCUGCUGUAGCUGUUCUGUUUUUCUUGGUGUUGCAGCUGUAGCCCAGAUGCCCUCAGUAGCUUGAUGGCUGUACAGUUGGGGUUGCUUGAGUCAUUGGCGUGUGAGAAUAGUCUACCUGGCUUCUCAGCCCAUACACUGCACUGGCCCUUUACUGGACUUUUAACCAGUGCAGGCAGGCUGGAGAAAAAACAUA